UCCACCCAUCUCAAACAAGCUUAAACGCACUACUACUUCUUGAGCCUUUUCCACUCCACAAAACAAAAUGGCUCCAAGAACCUCCCUUGCACUCUUCCUUUCUCUCAACCUCCUCUUCUUCACUUUCACCUCUGCGACCACAGGUACUUGUCCUAGAGACGCCCUCAAGAUCGGUGUUUGCGUCAGUGUGCUCAACAUAGUGGACCUAACAUUGGGAAACCCACCCGUACAGCCAUGCUGCUCUCUCAUCCAAGGCUUAGCUGACCUUGAGGCUGCUGUCUGCCUUUGCACUGCUCUCAAGGCUAGCGUUCUUGGAAUCAACCUUAACCUUCCCAUCAACCUCAGCGUUCUCCUCAAUGUUUGCGGUAGAAAAGCUCCAACCAACUUCCAGUGCGCUUAAGUUAAAAAUGAAGUUAUGGCAAAAAAAAAAAAAAAAAAAAAAAAAAAAAAAAUCAAUAAUCAACAAUCAAUAAUCAUAUAUACAAUGUAUGAAUAAUAAAUGAAUAAUCAUACAAUGUAUGAAUACUUGAAACCGUUAUCUUAUCUUCUUGUCUUUAUUUUAAGGUGAUUUCUUUUUUUCUUUGCAUUUGUAUUUGUAUUUGUCGUGGAUUGUUGGAAACUAACGUAUGAACGUUCUCAUGCAAUUACCCAAUAUUGGGUUUUGUGUGUAGUCGGCAAGUUUUUUCCUCCUUUGCUUCAUUGUUCCUCCAUCUCUUCUUUGUAAUUGUGUCCUUCGACGUUUAUUAAUAAAAGUAUCCAUCUUUAUGUUUUUUUUGUCUAUAUUGGUUAUCGAGUAUUUAUGCAUGUCUAUCUUAUAAACCAAGAUAAAAAGAUAAUAUUACAUACAUGAUACAUAUAUAUACCACAAAAACAUGUCUUGGCUAGUAUUACCUUAGCUUGUAAGCAUUAAGACAUGUAACAUCCAUUGCCUAUACCAUGCAAGAAUGGUGGGGAAUUUUUUUUUUUUUUUUCAAACUAGAUAAGAAUGUGUACAAGAUAAAUUCUUCAAACAGACAGCACUUGCAAACUUGGGAGAUAGUUUAAAAUAAAGAACUACUAAAUGUAUUUUUUUAUUUUUUUUAUUUUUUUUAACUACUAAAUGUAUUGUAAUGUGUUAGACGUAAUAUACAUAGUAGUCAAAAUAUAUUUUGACAUAGAAUUUAGAACUUUUUGCCAAAUAUCAAAGGCUUUAAAAGUAGUAGAUAAUGUAAUUACUAAUAAGUUAAAAAAUCAUAAUUAAGUUGGUAAUCGAUUUUUGGCUUGACUUGGGACGAAAAAUGUAAUUUUUUCUUAACAAGUCACUGGUAUAUAUUUUUUGAGAACUAAACCUUGAGUUUUACUUAUAUGAAUAGUUAAAAGUCACAAUUUUGUAUUCACUUUAUUACUGUUUAUGAUCAUUGAUUUUUUUUCCAUUACUAACUGUAUUUAGUCUUACAGAAAUUAAUGUGUUUUUAUUCUUUUUUUGUAAGAAAAUCUAUAAUGUAGUAACCGGAAAAAUUCAAAUGAAAACAUAUGCAUGGUGAUAUUAAAAUCUAGGUUCAUUAAGAAAUAACUUUGCUUUUUGAUAGGAUCUUGUAAGAAUUAAUUUUGCCUUAUCAACAAGACGAUGAUCACUACUACAGUAUAUAUAUAUAUAUAUAUAUAUAUUACUUGCCGUUAUUUUAUUUUGUAGUAUAUUUUGUCGUUAAUAUAAUAAAAGGAUCUCGCACAUACAUCUCAUUCAACACAUAUACAUGAUUUAUUUACCAAAAAAUAAAAUAUAUACAUGAAUAUUUCGUUAUAACAACUCUAACAAUGAUUAUAUAUUAUUCAUACUGGACAUGCUUUCAAAUUUAAAUUUUGCGCAAAACUGCAAUUGGCCAAAAUUUAAUCUAGACGAGUUAUGGUUUGAUUAAGUCCAACCAUUUGAGACUACCAAAUAGUAUUAUUACAUGGAAAUGAAUUAAUAAACUUUGUCUUCGUCUGACUAAAUGAUGAUUUAAAAAUAAUGACAAAGGGAUUCGUUAAAUAUAUAUAUCACAUGCACAAUGCAUGGAGGAAUAAAAAAACUCAUUCCAAUUUCGAUGUGCUUAAUUAACAUAAAUAGAUGUUUAAAUGAUAAAUAGCAGGUUUUAAAAAAACUUGUGAUACCUAGAUAUACAUAAUGUUUUCUUAGAACUUGGUAUUAUACUACUAAUUAACUUUGAUACACUAAUUACUAACGUAAUAACUAAUAACAUAACUCUGUACUCCAACUAACCAAGAAAUCAUAAGAUCGAUUGGCAGCUGAUACAAGUAAAUCAUAAAUGGCUGGCUUGAGCUUAAUUAAAAGAUGAAUGUGAUUCAUAUAAUAUAAAAAUUCGUGAGUUGUCUAGUUAAUUAGUUUAGAAGAUCGACUUCAACCACCAAAUUGUUUUUAUAGAUAUACAAAUUAAAACCAUAUACUCUUAAAGAUUACCAGCUAAUUUGAACAAUGACAAUUAAGUGGUUUUUAAUAAUCAAAUCAUAUCUAUAAGAAAUAAGCCAACUAAUAAUUCAAAUUAUCAAUUAAACCUUCACAUUUCUCUCCUAAUGAAAACCCUAUAAAUACCCACUAAACACUUAACAUUUUUCUCCACACAUCUCAUACAAACUUAAACGCACUACUACUUCUUGAGCCUCUUCGACCUCACAAACCAAUGGCUCCAAGAACUUCCCUUGCACUCUUCCUUUCUCUCAACCUCCUCUUCUUCACUUACACCUCUGCGGCCACCCCGAGCAGACAGACUUGUCCUAGAGAUUCCCUACAGCUCGGUGUUUGCGCCAAUGUACUCAAGCUAGUGGACCUAACAUUGGGAAACCCACCUGUAAAGCCAUGCUGCUCUCUCAUCCAAGGCUUGGCUGACCUUGAAGCUGCUGUCUGCCUCUGCACUAUGCUCAAGGUUAACCUUCUUGGGAUCAACCUUAAUCUUCCCAUCGAUCUCAGCGUUCUCCUCAAUGUUUGCAGUAGAAAAGCUCCAAAGAACUUCCAGUGCGCGUAAGUUGAAUAGUGUUUAUGAAGUCUUGGACCUAUUUUCUUAUCUUCUUGUUUUAUGGUAAGGUGAUUUCGUUUUGUAAUUUUCUUGAAUUGUUUAAGUGAACGUACGUUCUCAUGCAAUAAUGGAUAAUGCAUGCAUGGGUUUGUGUAUACAAUACAUGUAUUUGGCAAGUUUGUACUCCUUUACUUCAUUGUUACCCCGUCCCUUCUUUGUAAUCUAUUUUUCGAAUUUGAUAUAAUAAAUUCACUUCUUACCAUAAUUAAAUUUUAACAUUAUAACUUAAAAAGCCCUAUUGGAAAAAAUAAUUAAAAUGCCCUAUCUGUUCUUCUUACAAAAGAUGCUUGGAAGCUCGAUGUUUAACUUGUUGAAUGUGACCAUCCUGUCUCUAUAUAUCUGAAGACCCAAUAGAAAAAUCAAGACUCUUACUCAAUUUUUCUUUUUCCAAUAUAAGAGAUUUUUACCAUAAGAAAUUUUCAAAAUUUUAUUUAUUUUGGAUCCAUAGCAAAUGCCUAGGUGCAACCUCAUUGACGGUUUGGUUGAAUCAGAUUAUGCGGUUUGUCUUUGCACCGUGAGUAAAGCUAAAAUUCUAAAACUUGUCGAUUGCAGCAGAAUGGUUUCCAAUGCCCUUAAUUUGAAAACGUAAAUUUCUAAAACUUGGUUCAUAGACUUAUUUAUAAAUAUGAAAGUUGUUUUCCCAUCAAAUAUAACCAUAUAUAAGAUUGAUAAACAGAAACCAAUAGCUGGUUAAACCUUAAAAAAACGAGAAAUUAACAAGAAUUUAUUUAGUAAACUAUUUUACGAGUGGCCAUUUCUCUUUUAAUAGUAUAGAUUUCCAACACACACAAAAAAAUGUUCUAACUUUAUAUCUUGACUUAAUUUCACUAUAAAAUCCCUAAUAUUAAUUUUGUCUCAGUUCGAUUGGAUCAAUUUCAAACCGUGAAAAUUCCAUGUCUACUCAAUCCAUUUAAUCUCUAGUCGGUUGUCGAAAAAAAAUAUUAUAAUCUCUAGUCGGCAAAAUUUUGGUUUGAUCUCAAUUGGAUUUCUGAUUCAAAAUUAAUUAACAGUGAGUAAAUUAAUGGCAAUUUCCUUAUAUAUAAUGUUAAGUCUCCAGAGUUCAAAAAGAACAAUUGGUUUUUUAUUUUAACAUGGUAUCAAAGUCUAUAUUUGAUCUUAUAUUCUUUUUCAUUUUGAAAAAUCACAUAUUCUUUAUUUAAUGUUUCGCUUUUUUUUUGCUCAUUUUAAAUUAUAACCUAAUAUAAUUAAGAGAACAUCAAUACUCUAUUAUUGUAUAUGCGACCCGAUGAUAAUUCAAAAGAAUACCGGUAGUCUAUUGUUAUAUACUGUAUAUGUGAAGUUAUUUAGGAUUUAUGAUUUAAAGUUAUAGCGAGUUUGCAAUAUGAUUUGUUAACGAAUAUUAUUAAAUGUGAAGCAUGUUUUCUUUGGUAACAAAUAAUAUACUAUACAAACCUAAGCGUCAGAAUUUUGGUAUACAAUAAUAUUGGUUAUGUGAAUCAAAUCUUCGGACAUCCCAAAUAUAACGGGUCAACUUUCAAAAAGAAAUAUAUUCAGCAAAAGUUCAACUUGGUUCUCACUUAACCGAAUACAAACCUGAAAUGCCUAACGAGAGAACAAACUUGAAAGCUGAAACAUUAGAGCAAAAAUACAAACUUAACGAAGUUUGAUAGAUCAUGUUUAACGAAGUUGUCAAAGCGGUGUAUGGUAGGCAAAGCUGUGAUGGAAACCCUUUUCAAAAGUCUUUUCACCACUGACUGUAAAGGAAGUCACCAUUUGAAUAUUAUUGUUAUGAUCACUAAUGUUAUGCCAUUAUAUAUUACCUGUAGCUUUAUGUAUAGUCUUACAAAUAUGUGAUAUAUAGUAUUUAUAUUUGAUGCACUAACCGAAAAUUUCAGAUAUAAACUUCUUUCAUUUUUGACGUCUUUUUAGAUAGAUUAUGUAGUUAAUAAAAAGAAUAUAAUUGACCAAUAAAUACAUCAAUUUUAUAGUAAAGAAUGAUUUUCGCAUGAUGAUUAUAUAUUAUUAAUUGUAAGCCUUUCCAUGGAAUUACUAAAUUCUCGAUAUCUCUUAUAGUCAGCUAGCUACACGUGAGCCAUACACUAUUUGCAUGUUCGACCAUUAUUUUAUUAAUCGGAAUAUAACAAAAGAUGCCAUUAUUAAUUCACGAAACCAUAUGUUAUUUAUUCAGAGAAAAAAAUAUCCAAGUGGUAAGAUCUCGCACAUACCUGAUCAUUCAAUAUAAAUCAUUGAAAUGUAUUAUCCGAAAGAGAAAUAAUAACGAUGAUUUUGUCGUUAAAUAACUUAAUAAGUAAAAGUCAUUUGCUAAUAAAAACAUUUCACAUAAGAUUUUUCUAUAAUUAAAAAAAAUUAUCAAAAAAAGAUGCAACUUCUCCCAUCUUGUUUCUAAUUCUUUUUAUAUCUAUUUAAAACAAAAACUAUACUACAAAAAAAAAAAAAGAAGAAAAAGAAAAGAGAACUCUUAAAUUUUCUCACACACUAUACUAUGAUUUUGGGGAGUUUGGAACCAUCUAAAGAUUUCUUAAACCAUUUCACCAUUCUCUACAAAAAUCCAAUUCACGUUGGACUCAUAUCCAUCCUUUGCUCUAACUUUCUCCACAUUUCCAUCUGAUAGAAUUCAUGAGCUAAGACGAUUUGUGAAAUGAUUUUUUUAUUUCUCAAUCGUAAUAAACAUUGCAGUGUGUGUUUAUAUACAAUAAAUUAAUGUAAAUCGGAAUCUCAUGUCAAUUAACUUAACCAGUAAUCCAGCUACUCUAAUACCAUCACUUUUUAUUUUUUAAAUCUUUCUCAGAUCUACUAAUUUGAAACUUCAUUGAAAAAAACAAUUUUUAUCAGUUAACUAAAAAAAGGACAAUUGGAUAUAUCAAUUCUUACCACCGACUAAGUUGUUAAUUAAAAUAAGAACCAUAUACUCCUAGAGAUUACCAGCUCAUUUGAACAAUAGAAAAUAUUUAAUGUUCUUUAAACACAAAUAGUCAACUAAUCCCCUAGUAACGACAAAAUAUCAAUGAAACCUUCACAAUACUCUCCUAGUGAAAACCCUAUAAAUAGACACUAAACACUUUUUGACAAAAAAAAAAAAAAGACACUAAACACUUAACAUUUCUCUCCACCCAUCUCAAACAAACUUAAACGCACUACUACUUCUUGAGCCUUUUCCACUCCACAAAACAAAAUGGCUCCAAGAACCUCCCUUGCACUCUUCCUUUCUCUCAACCUCCUCUUCUUCACUUACACCACUGCGACCACAGGUACUUGUCCUAGAGACGCCCUCCAGAUCGGUGUUUGCGUCAGUGUGCUUAACAUAGUGGACCUAACAGUGGGAAACCCAGCCGUACAGCCAUGCUGCUCUCUCAUCCAAGGCUUAGCUGACCUUGAGGCUGCUGUCUGCCUUUGCACUGCUCUCAAGACUAGCAUUCUUGGAACCAACGUCCUUAACCUUCCCAUCAAUCUCAGCGUUCUCCUCAAUGUUUGCGGUAGGAAAGCUCCAACGAACUUCCAGUGCGCUUAAGUUCAAAACAAACUUAUGGCAUACCUAGAAAACAAAUAAAUCAGUAAUCAUAUAUACAGUGUAUGAAUAAUAAAAAAUAAUCAUACAGUGUAUGAUUACUUGAAACCGUUAUCUUAUCUUGUUGUCUUCGUUUUAAGGUGAUUUCAUCUCUUCUUUGUAUUUGUGUCCUUUGAAUCCGAUUAAUAAAAGUAUCGAUCUUUAUGUUUUAUUGUUUAUAGUGGUUUCGAGUAUACAUGUGUAUCUUAAAAACCAAGAUGAAAAAUAAUAUUACAUACAUGAUACAUACAUACCACUAAAGCCUGUCUUAGCUAGUAUUUCCUUGUAAGCAUUAAGACAUGUAACAUCUAGCUCAUCGUUCCAUAUAUAACAUGCAGGAAUGGUUGGGAUAUAUCUAAUUAUUUUUUAUCUAACUAGAUAACAAUUUGUUCAAGAUCAAUUCUUCAAACAGAUAACACUUGCAAACUUGCGACAUAGUUUAAAAAAAAAGAACUAUAAAUAUGUAGUGUAAUGUUAGACGUAAUAUACAUAGUAGUCAAAAUAUAUUUUGACGUAGAAAUUAUAAUUUUUGCCAAAUAUCAAAGACUUUAAAAGUAAUAGGUGAAAAUAUCAUAAUUAAGUUGGUAAUGGAUUUUUUUUUUGAGUUUAAUGUUAAAUUAUAUUUAAAAAGAAAAAUUAACAUUUUUACAACAAGUGCAAUAUUGUUUUGAAAGAAAAACUUAUAAAGUAUUAAAAGUGAUUAAAAAAUUCCACGACGAUGGGAGCUUCUAACCUACGAAGAAGUCUUUCCCCUCUUCAUUCGGAAGUAGAAGCUCUGGUGUGGGCGAUGCGAUGCAUGAUUGGCCAUGACUUCAGAGAAGUUGCUUUUCUUACCGACUGUUCGGACUUGGUGAAGAUGGUGUCUUCUCCUCACGAAUGGCCGGCUUUCUCUGUCUACCUGGAGGAUAUCAAGAAUGAUAGGGAAGAAUUCUCAUCUUUUUCUUUAUCUUUUAUUCCUAGAAAUCUGAAUGUAAAAGCGGAUUACUUGGCACGCAAAGCUCGUUCCAGUCCGCAUUUGAUUAAGUUUGUAAACAAUUGUCCGUCAAGUUGGCUCAUUUGAGUUAGCUUUUUAUUUAGAUAGAACAAAAAAAAAAAAAAAAAAGAUUAAAAAAUUCCCCCAAAAAUAUCUUAAUCAAAUGACUAGGAACGUGCUUGAAACCAACGUUGGAAACCUUCAUCAUAUCGUCAAUUACCCUCUCGUCGAAUUGCUUGGAGCUGAUCAACUCAUUUUAUGAUUGUUGCAGUCGGAUGUGAAGCAUCUCCGUUAAGUUAGUAAUCGAUUUUUUGGCUUGAGGGGGGACGAAAAUGUAAUUUUUUCCUAAUAAUUCAUUUGUAUAUAUUUUUUGAGAACAAAACCUUGAGUUUUAGUUAUAAGAAAUUGUUAAGUCACAUCUUAUACACAUAUUGAUUGACAAAUUUCUCCAAUUAAUUUAUCAAAUAAAAUAGUAUUAAGUCAAAAACGAAUUUGAGUUAAUUAACACGUGCUCAAAUUUGGCAUUUUCAGACUAAUCAUUAUGUAUAUUAGAGAUGCCUUCAUAUACAAUCAAACGUACGUUACAGAUGUGUUAUACGUAAACUGUAACACAUACUAAAAUAUAUAAUGUAUAUGAUCGAACUUCGUUCCACUUCCAGUAGUUUGGAUUUAAUUUGGACGGAUUACAAAAGAAUCUAUAUAACUCACUCCAUGCUGAGACUUCUUCAACUAUAUAAAAUCAUUUACAAACAACAAAUUUAUUCAUUUAUUUCCGAUUAGAUUUUGUGGCAGAGAGAUAGUUAACAAUGGUGGUCUCGAUUCUGAUUAUUUGAAGGUCAAGGCCGAGACGCAAUAGUGGUUUCCAAAGUUUGAUGGUGAUUUCCAAAGCCGAGUAGAUUAAUGGAUAUUUCCAUAUAUAUAAUAAUGCUUAUAUACUAAUGCUUCAACCUUAACCUAAUACUUAAUCUAAACAAACCCAUUUACACAUAUGGGCUUUUACUACAAUCAUGGCCCAUGGCCUUUUUCCUCUUCCUCCUCAUACAACCAAUGCUUCUUCUUUUUUUGGUAAAAUACAACCAAUGCUUCUUCUUCAGUUGCUUACGCAUCUCUCUUCCUUCAUAAUUUCUCACCUUUCUCUUUGUUUCUCUUUUGCAGGGUUAAGUAAUGAAUCAACUUCCACCAGUUUUCACUUGAUUAUUUUUUAUGAUCAUUGAUUUUAUGCCUUUAUUACCUGUAUGCAGAAAUGUGUUUUUUUAUUUCCUUUGUAAGAAAAUCUAUAUCAUUUAUUUUUGAUGAAUUAACCGAAAAAUUCAGAUAUAUCUAUAUAUAUAAAGUUAACUUUUUCUCUCUUCUCCUUAAGCCACAUCAUCAUCCACCUCAUUUUAUUAUUUAAUUUUUAAAAUUAAUUAUACCAUUUUAUCAUUUAAUUUUACUAUUUAAACCUAUGUAAAUAAUAUAUAUAUAUAAAGUUAACUUUUUCUCUUUUCUCCUUAAGCCACAUCAUCAUCCACCUCAUUUUAUUAUUUAAUUUUUAAAAUUAAUUAUACCAUUUUAUCAUUUGAUUUUAAUAUUUAAACCUAUGUAAAUAAGUUUUUCCAAAAUAAAUAUGAAAGGUCUUUUUUAUUAUUAUAUAUUAUAAAACUAAAAAAGAUAAUUGAUUAAGAGUUAAAAAAACUUACUAAUUAUCGAUUAUACUAACAAAUAUAAUGUAUAAUAUAAACCCCACAUCAUCAUUCAUCUUAAUUUUUUACAUUGAUUUAGAAUUACAACACUUUAGUUUUUAAUUUCUUUUCUACCUCAUAACUUAGCUUUUAUUUUAUUUUUCUAUUCAAUAGUGGUUUUAAGAAAAUAAAUAAUAUAGUAAAAAACAUUUAUGUCCAAAAUAAAUAAAACAAGUAUAUAUUUAUAAAGUAAUGAUCAAUUUUUUGAUUAAUGGGGCUAAAUACAAAAACAAAAUACAAAGCAAGGAUAUUUAUACUAUACAGAUAGAUAUACCACUAAAUUGAUGUCAUCCGAAGCCACCUCAAACGAAAACACAACUGAUUUUAGGCAUAAGAAGUAGAAAAAAAAACCUUAAAGUAAAAUGAAAACACUUGGAUAAGUAAAUAAGUGGAUUCACCAGAAUAAUUUGGCUUACAAAAAUUGAAGGCUUUUGAAAUGUAAGCUUUUAACAGCUACUAUUUGACCUAAAUCAUAGUUAAAAAAAUAAAAAUAAACAUUGCAUAUACUAAAUUAAUACAAAACAACAGUAAAAACAAAAAAAAUAAACAGAAAACAAAGAAAAAUCAAAAUAUAAAAAACAAUUAUAAAACUCCCGCGCGCAGCGCGGAUCAACAACUAGUAUAUAUAUAUGUUAAACUCCUAUAAUCAUAUGGUGACAUAAAAUUUAUUACGGUCGUUAAGAAAUAACUUUGCCUUUUGAUAUGAUUUUUAAAAGAAUUAAUUUAGCCUUAAUCAACAAGACGAUGAUUAAUUACCAUAAUAUAGCCCGCACAGUUGUGGUCCAGUGGUAAGGAAGAAUUGGGGACAUGUUGGAAGGAACUAACCCAGAUUCGAUCCACCCUGGAAACAAAAAUCAUGGUUGUGUGGGAAGUCUGGGAAUUGGGCCAAGGCCCAGUUGCUUUACCUGUUAGUCAGAAAUGCAGACGACCUGAUUACCCUUGGCAUUAGUCGGAAAACAUUCCAAACUCGGGAUAGACAGUGUGUCAUGGCCCUUCGGAGAGAAGUCCACUCUGAAGCAUUUCGGUGCGAUUCUACCGGAGCUGACGGGAUAAGCCGAUAGGAUUUAUCAAAAAAAAAAAAUUACCACUUGGUUGAACCAUUAAACUUCUUUCAUUUUUCACGUCUUUGAGAUACUACUAUACAUAUGUAGUUAAUAAAAGAGAAAAUCAUUAUUAAAAAAAAAAGAAUAGAAUUGACCAAUCAAUUGAUAAUGUUAUCGUGAAGGAUGAUUUGGGCAUGAUCAUUAUCAUAUUUAUAUAUUAGAAGCCUGUUCGAAGGAAUAACUAAAUUCUCGAUCUCUCCUAUAGCUACCACCCGUGAACUAUAAUAGUACACUAUUAGCAUGUUCGACCUUAUUUUUUAUAAUCCGAAUAUAACAAAAGAUACCACUAUAAUACAUGAAACUAUAUGUUAUUUAAUCAGCAAAAGGAUCAAACUAGUAUGAUCACUUACAAUAUAUCAUUCAAUACAAAUCAUAGAAAUGUAUUAUCCGAAAGAGAAACAACAACGAUGAUUUUGUCGUUAAAUAACACCUUAAGAUAUACUAUAUUUUGAUCUAAUUUCCAACAAUUAUUUUACGUUAUUCAACUAUAGACAUUGAUUUCCUUUCAGAUUUUUUUUCGAAAUUAUGAUUUUAUUUGUUUCACACAAUGAAAAUGACCUUUUAAUGCCAAAUUUGUGCUAAACCAUCUAAUAAAGUCUUAACGUUGAAAUCAUACGAUUGAGAUAUUUCUAUAUUUUAAACCCUAAAAAUAUCCAAACUAGUCUAUUAUAAACCCCUAAUAUACGGAAUGAUAUGAUAAGUCCAACCAUUUGAGACUACUAAUACAAUUAUCACAUGGAAAUGAAGUAAUAAACUUUGUCUUCGUGUGUGAUUAUGUGUAGACAUAAUGGUGAAGGAUAAAAUUUAUGAGGCUUUGCAUAGUUAAUUUCUAAAAUAAGAUUAUAAAUUUGAUUAUAUUCUUAAUAAUCGUGAAGGCCCGUACAUAUAUUGGUAUAAUUCGAAAAUUUGGGAGUUGUCUAGUUAAUUAUUUUAGAGGAUCCACUUCAACCACCAAAUUUUGAUUUAUGGAUAUAUAAAUUCUUACCACCAACUAAGUAGUUAAUUAAAAUUAGAACCAUAUACUACUAGAGAUUACCAGCUCAUUUGAACAAUAAUGACAAUUUAGUGUUUUCUAAUAUUAAUCAAUCCCUUAUCUCUUAAUGAAAACCCUAUAAAUAGACACUAAACACAUAACAUAUCUCUCCACCCAUCUCAAACAAGCUUAAACGCACUACUACUUCUUGAGCCUUUUCCACUUUACAAAACGAAAUGGCUCCAAGAACCUCCCUUGCUCUUUUCCUUUCUCUCAACCUCCUCUUCUUCACUUACACCUCUGCGACAUGUUACAAGUGCCUCCCCACCCCAACUACCCCGACCAUCCCGACCAUCCCGACAACCCCGACCACCCCGACUACCCCGACCACCCCAAGCACAGGUACUUGUCCUAGAGAUGCCCUACAGCUCGGUGUUUGCGCCAAUGUGCUCAAGCUAGUGGACCUAAAAUUGGGAAACCCACCUGUUAAGCCAUGCUGCUCUCUUAUCCAAGGCUUGGCUGACCUUGAGGCUGCGGUCUGCCUUUGCACUGCUCUCAAGGUUAACAUUCUUGGAAUCAACCUUAACCUUCCCAUCGAUCUCAGCGUUCUCCUCAAUG
rnacentral:lncRNA from 1 species